GAAAACGCCGAGACGUGGUUGCCAGGUUCAAUGGUUGGUGCGCCAACCGCUACUUCUCUCGCUCUGCAACAACGCUGAGUCGAUCGCAAACAGAUUCGCUGUAAAAAUAAAAAAGGGGUGGUAUAUUACUGUACCACACUACACAGUAGUAGCUCCGAAAAAUAUAGGAAAAUAUAUUUUUUUCACCGGCUUUAUAAAAAUAUACAUGUUUAGAAAGAAUUGGUAAAAAUAUACCAUCGUCAGGGAGCAAGGAUACAAACGUUUAGUAAGGCCAUUCACAAUGCUUCCAUGUGGCAUACAGCCUCACCCCAAAAACCGAAUAUUGGUGGCACGUUGGCAAUCCGCGCGGCUUGCUCAAGACCGUGGAGCCAACUUUAGCCACCCGUUCCUCGUUAGUUUUACAGGGGGCCCACAUUCGCGAUGCGUUGUCCUACUGCUCCCAACCCCGUCUCGCGGGAAAAUAUGUAGUACAAACCACAUAUGUAGUGGUAACUUGAAAACUACCGUUGGAUCGAGAAAUGGAUGUCCGAUAUUCGUCCACGUUACCAUGAGUUAAAAUUUAACUCCCAGUAAAAGCCGGCGGAGGAGAAGAGAAGGGGACGGCCGUGUAACGUCCCGCCUCUCCUAUGCCAGGCCCUCUUACAUUUGGCAGCUUUCAUAGGUCAUAGGCUGCCCUUAUAGACCAACACAAGUCUUUUCUGCACACUUUGUCCUCACUCGUGCACACCCAGGAAGAAUUUUCCGGUCGGUCACCCAUCCAAAAUUGCUCCAGACCAAGCACGCUUAACCCUAGAGUUGAUCGGCUUCCGAAAAAGAAGUUAUAACUUGUUGAUAUGAGUAUUGUAUUAAUGCUAUUAAGCCCUAGGCUGGGAUGUUACACGGCCGGCUGGAGAAGAGAGAGGCAUAGGAGCUUGAUGUCGACGCCGGUUCAGAGCCGGCGAGCUCGACCCGUCUCUGGCGCCGCCUCCCGGCACAGUCGUCGCCGCCCUCCGCUCAGGCCGCCCCGGGGCUCGGAGCCGUCGCCACCACUCGAGCAGGGCGGCGGCGGCCGUUUAGGUCGCCCCGUUGCCCGGCGCCGUGGCCUCCGCUCAACCCGUCUCCGGCACCACCAGCCACCCCAUCGCCACCAUUCCUCACCGUCUGUGGGAGACGUAGAGAGGUGAGAGAAAAGAGAUAAGAGCAAAGAGGGGAGAAAGAAGAGAUAAGAAGGACAGAGGAGAUGGGAAACACUGUGGGACCCUUUAUAAAGUAGUAUGCAAGUAGUACGCACCGUGGAGUAUGUAUCCAUCUAGUUCUUGGGUGUUCUUAGGUCUAGGUGGCAUGUGACGCACACUAAAUUCUUGUGGCGCACCGUGAAUGGUCUAAAAAUGUGAACUUGUGGUAGCAGCAAACCAGAAGAGACUAGCAUGCACGAGUACUCACGAGUUCGCUCAGCGAUCUCGCUCUCGAGUUCGUGGUGGCGCGGAUCGUUCCCGCUAUUCCUCGCAAACAUCGCGAGUUUGUGUACUCACUGUGCGAACUCGUCGUGAGUUCUUAUUCUCGCUAUACGAUAAC
rnacentral:lncRNA from 1 species